GGGAACGUUUCAUUCGGCAGCCGUGCGACACAGUCCCACGGGUUGAUUUUCCCGCUCUUUGCAGGUCUGCGAUGUGCCAUGCUGUUCCUUAUCCUCCUCGCCCACACUGACGACCGAUGUUCAGGUAUGACUCACCCAAGGCAUUCAGAAGCUAGCGCUGCACCACUAAUUCGUGCUCUUCUGAGCCGGCAGUGCUGUUCGUUGCUAAGUUUCGUACAAGAAAAAUAGACGAUCAACAAAUCGGGGUCAUUUUUGUUUUGCUUGGACACGUGAAAGAACGAAAGAAAAACGAACCAAGAGAACGUUCGUUGCACCUCAACUAAAUCUACACUCAACCCUCAAUCAAACAUUCAAUCAAUAUACAGGGCAGUUUGCGCCUGUGUUUGUUUUAUUUGUGACUUGUACAUGUAGGACUUGUAGAUGUUCCACAGAAACAAGCAUCAUGGUUCGUAUUCAUCAAAUAUGGUUAUCUAGAACAGUUCUUAAGUGCAGUGUACAUGCUUUUAUUAUUAUUGCACGUGCUUUUCAUCAGCAUCAGAGCAUGGAAGUGUCGAUUAUGAAUGCAUUUUCGCCAAUAAAUGAACAAAAAUGAAGUAGCGUAUAAAAGUUCCAACUAUAUUUCAUUGGCUGAUCUUGAAUAAAUAUUAAUGUCAUCUUUCAAAAAGUACGUGCUUUUAAUACCGCGUCAAUGGCGGUUCAACAAAUAUGCAACACAACUAUAGCACAAUGAAUUUCCGACAGAACUUCAGUGGCCAAUAUGCAAGAGGUUUCAACACUCACCUGAAUGACAUUUCAGUAAAUGCACAAUGUGUUGUCAAUACAUUAUUCAACAUCGACCAAUGACAUUUCAACAUUUUCUCAACGACAUUUUCUUUUUACCCGAAACAACGGCAAUUCAUGAACAAAAAAACGAUUUGCGCUAGCGAACAUAUUGGAAAUGCUUUCUUGCAAUUGUAGUUCUUCCUUUCUUCUUUUCUUUCUUUAUGUCUGCUUCCGCGGAAGGUCAUUUUCCGCAGAAGCCAAACCGUCGUAAGUCAUUGGCCUGGUCGUAAUCCCCCGACCCUGUACAGAGCAGGGACCUGCUCUGUUCACGCCACAGGUAACGCCCGCGACGCCGAAGAUUGCAUCACCCGUCGAAUCUAGUGGCCGCAUUCGUCCCAGCUGGAGGACGACGGCGUCUUCGCGCAGCCGAAGGCGUCGCCGAAGGCGCGCAGAGUAGGCAGCGCGAAGCGGCACACGCGGUCGGCCAGGCCGCGCUGCUCGACGCUCCGCUGAUACCAAUUUAUGCAGAGGCCCACGAAGAAGAGCUGUUCGGGUGUCAGGCCGAACUGCUCUGCCUCGUGGCGGAAG